rnacentral:tRNA from 1 species
CAGGAGUUAGUUUAUUAAAAUUUCGGUUUUGGGGAUCGAGGAUAGGUUAUUUCCUACUCCUGA